AGGAAGUUAGUCUAACCCAAGACGGUUGGUUUCGGCCCAACAAAUUAUAGCUCCACCUAUAGCUUCCUC
rnacentral:tRNA from 1 species